ACGCAACGCGACCCCA
rnacentral:rRNA from 1 species